rnacentral:rRNA from 1 species
AUUGAACGCUGGCGGCAGGCCUAACACAUGCAAGUCGAGCGAGCGGCGGACGGGUGAGUAAUGUCUGGGACACUUCCUGAUGGAGGGGGAUAACUACUGGAACCGGUAGCUACUACCGCCUACCAUCGGAUGUGCCCAGAUGGGAUUAGCUAGUAGGUGGGGUAAAGGCUCACCUAGGCGACGAUCCCUAGCUGGUCUGCGAGGGUGACCAGCCACACUGGAACUGAGACACGGUCCAGACUCCUACGGGAGGCAGCAGUGGGGAAGAGUGCACAAUGGGCGCAAGCCUGAUGCAGCCAGGCCGCGUGGAUGAAGAAGGCCUUCGGGUUGUAAAGGACUUGCAGCGGGGAGGCGUUACCCGCAGAAGAAGCACCGGCUAACUCCGUGACAGCAGCCGCGGUAAUUC